CCCCUGGAGAUGAGCUGUUCUCGUGAGAGCUGGGCCUCUUUCUAAGCCGGCACUCUGAGCACCAUGAUUGUGAAACCCACUGUCGAGAAGCAGGACAAGUUUGAGUCUGGUAUCUCUCGGGCGCUGCUCAAGCUGGAGAUGAACUGAGGUCUCAAGGCUCAGCCAUGGGACCUCAACAUCACCGCCGCCAAGGAAGUUGGAAAGCCAUCAUAAUUUUUGUACCAGUUCCUCAGCUGAAAUCUUUCCAGAAAAUCCAAGUCCGGCUAGUUGGUAAAGUGCCGUGGGAAACAUGUAGUCUUCAGUGCUCAGAGGAGGAUUCUGCCCAAGCCAACCCGGAAAAGCCCCGGAAGCCGCACCCUGACAGCGUGCACGGUGCCAUCCUUGAGGACUUGGUUUUCUCAAUGAAAUUGUGGGUAGGAGGAUCCGGGUGAAACUGGAUAGCAGCUGGCUCAUAAAUGAACAUUUAGACAAAGAAGCAGAACAACGUGGAGCACAAGGCUGAAACAUUUUCUGGUGUGUACAAGAAGCUCACAGGCAAGGAUGUUAAUUUUGAAUUCCCAGAGUUUCAGCUGUAAAGGAAAUGACUGAAUAAAAUGUCAUUCAUAGUAAAAAAAAAAUAAAUAAAAUAAUGUCUGCAUUAA